UAUCUUUUGGGCAGUUAGUUCUUCAUCAUCCUCUUUCUAUCUUCUUCCUUGGGGCAUCUCAAUUCCUUCCUUAAGCCAAUUGAGAUAGAGUAGCGCCAGGAAGCUACAAUGCACGCACAGACGAAUUUGUUGUGGUACCGUUAAAUUAAUCAAGCUCAAAAUCACCGGGGUGGUGUGUGAAGAUGCCUCUAUCAAAUUCAAGGGUUUAGGCGUUUUGAUUCUCUGUAUCUGUAUCUCAUAUCAAAAUCAGAAUCCAGGUCAGAAUCUGUGCUUUCCCAGCUUCUUUCUCCCAAUCUAUCCUUGCAAUAAAGACCAGCAAUAU